rnacentral:rRNA from 1 species
AUUUAUAAGGAGGGAAUUGUGAGAAAUGAUGACGAGCGGCGGACGGCUGAGUAACGCGUGGGAACGUGCCCCAAAGUGAGGAAUAAGCUUCAGAAAUGGAGUCUAAUGCCGCAUAUGAUCUUCGGAUUAAAGGAUUUAUCCGCUUUGGGAGCGGCCCGCGUUAGAUUAGGUAGUUGGUGAGGUAAAGGCGUCACCAAGCCGACGAUCUAUAGCUGGUCUGAGAGGAUGAUCAGCCAGACUGGAACUGAGACACGGUCCAG